UCUAACAAUUCUAUUUGAUUGUGCUCACUUGGAACGAUACAGAGAAGAUUAACAUGGCCCCUAGCGCGAAGGAUGACACACAAAUUCGUGAAGCGUUCCAUAUUUUA
rnacentral:snRNA from 1 species